rnacentral:ncRNA from 2 species
UAAUGUAAGGGGCAAAACUGUUGAAAGACAGUGACGCAAAACUGAGGGUCAAAGGUACUAUUGUAGUAGUGCUAGCUGGUUACCGAA